rnacentral:lncRNA from 1 species
UCGAUUCGUACCAACUACCAGACACGAUUCAUACUCAUUAAUGUUACUAGAGAUUUGAUUUUUCAACAAAACAAAAAAAUAAUAGAUAUUAUCUGAAUUUAACAGAUUAUAGUUUUUUUUUCCUUUAUUUCACUAUCAGUCUCUGUGUACACUAUGGUUGUUAUUUUUUAUUGAAUGAACGUGAAACACCAUUUUCAAGUUCAUCGACAGAGAGAUUCGGAACAAGACAAAGGAAGCAUUUCGGAAACCACAUACAACUUUGGAUUAGAUGAAUUCACUGUUGUGUCUUCUUUGUUUAUUUGUUACCUUUGUCUUUAUUCUUUUUUGGCAACGCUUCUCCCGGGCCGGCUCUGAAAGAAGCAACAUGAAACAUUUGUAUGUUGUCUCCAUUUUUAAAAACUUUUUUUUACAGCAAACCUGAUUUAUAAAUAGGCUUCCAAAUAUAUUUAGUUCUAAGAAAAAUAUAUCCAAAUUUCAAAACAGUUUAUAAUAACCCCAAAUAUAUAAUUUGUUACUUUGGCCCCCAAAUUUUGACCGGUCAUAGGUCUCUCAACCCCUAUAUACAUUAUACAUCAUGUAAUUCCAAAACUAUUAUAUAUAUAUAUACACACUAUUUCAUUAAUAUUUACAUUUAUAUAUAAUAAUAAUAAUAAAAACCAUGACAAAGCAUCAACCCUUACCAUAUCCAUAAAAUAUAUUACUCUUGCGAUUACCUAAUGACAUCUAUAUGACCCUAUCGAUUUAAUUGCCAGCGCGGUAUAACAGUGACACCAAUAAUUCACACUACCAAUUCAAAAUCAAUUCCCGAUAAAUAAAUAAUUGAAACCAAAAUAUUUCAAUACUAGAUUUUAACCCGCGGUACACCGCGGGGACAAUUUAUAUUUUAAAGUUAAUAUAUAUAAAAUUUUGCAAAUUGUAUCUAUCUAUAAAAUAUUUUUAUUUUAUAAUUUACAAUUGUUAUUAAGUAACGUUCUGCCAAACCCGUCACGCCAAACCCGUCCCGUAAAAAAACCAUUAUUUUAUUAAUGUUAAUCUUAUUUAUGAUAUGUUUAUGAAUUAUUGUCUAAAUAUUUUAGUCGAUGUGGGACGUUGAACUCAAACAUUUUUCGCCAAUUGGUUAAUAUAUGUUUAUUUUUAAAAUUUCGAAUCACAAAUUAUGGCGGAAAGAAUAGAGAUUUUUUUAAACUUUAUAUAUUAUAUAAUGAUGUUAAAAAAUUAUGAUAUAUUAAACUUUUUAUAAUUUUAAAUAUUAAUAAUGUUUUAUAAAUUUAAAAUAUUUAAAUAAUUAUAUUUAUUUAUUUUAUAUUUUGAGCCUUUAAGGUAAUGACAUAAUAACUCUAAAAGCAAGGAUUUAGAAGAUUUAAAUCUUUAAUUAAAUAUUUUCAUUCCUAAAUAAUUAAUGUCAGUGUCAUGAGAUUGUAAAUAAGUUCAAAUACAUGAUUUAUUUAUUUAAACAAAAAAUGUUUAGUAAGAAUAAUAUUUGUUUUAACAAAAAACUUUGUUUUAAAAUAUUGUUAACAAAUAUGUUUAUGCUAAUUUUAAGGGUUAAAUUUGAUUGAUAAUGUGGUUGACAAUUUAAAUCAAGUAAAAUUAAUUAUUUUGGAGAAAAGAUUUAAUGCUAAUGGCAUUGAGUUGUAAAUAAGUCCAAAUUCAGGAUUUAUUUGUUAAAAUGGCUGCAAAAAUGUAUAUGUAGAUUUUUUGAAAGAAGUGAUUGAAAGAAUAUUUGCUGCAAUGAAAGACUACCAAAUCGACAAUAAGAACAGGUAGCAUUAGGCAUGAUUCAUCAGGAGCAAAUUUUUGCUUUACAAAAACUAAAAUCUCUAAAGCAAAACUCAAACAAGAAAGAAGUUAAAACCCAAAAAAAAGGGGAAGUAAACCUGGUACUAAAAUAUAUUAAAAUGGAACAUAAUAAUUUUUUUAAAAAAGACUCAUAAACUCUAAAACUGCAACUCACAAUUUAGGGAUUAAUUAUGGGAUUGACACAAUUAAGUUUAUAUCUUUAUGAAAACAGACAUAUCUCAUAUGCCUUAUAGAUUUAAGUAUUUUUCUAUGCAAGUAUUUUACGAGUUUACCCUUACCACUGAACCUACAAUGGUGAUUGAGCUCCUGCAACAACAACGAUUUUGACAACGGUAAGAAGCAACGGCGGUGACUCAUGAAUCAUGUCUCGUGAUGAAAAAGACGGCAAGAUCUCGACCUCCAAUUAGCGUUGGCGACGAUGGUGAGUUUCAACGACGAUGGUGAGUUGAGCGAUAGUGAGAAGCGAAGGUGAUAGUUUGGAUCUCUAGAAUUACUUUUCCAAAUCCUCUGUUAUUAGUUGGUGACGAUGAUGAUGAACUCUAUUGACAAUAAAAAUCAAAUUUGGUUUAGAAUUAAUAAUGAAUUGGAGUGUUUAAGAUUAGAACCCAAGGGUUCCCUAGAUAGUAUCCCUUUAGGGUUUAGAUUUCUUCAAUCAAAAAUCAUUUAUUUUGAUUGAUUGGGUUAAUCAGAAUAGACAUGUUGGCUGGAAAAUUUUGUUGAAGACGAUGGUGUUGUUAAUAACACUAUGAAUCGUCAAAAUCGAUGUCUGGACAAUGGUGUUGAAGACGAUGGUGUUGAAGACGAAGGGCAAAAGCGUCAUAUUUGUUGCAAACAUAUGCCCAAACCUAUAAGCCCAUUCUAAAUGUUCCUUUUUUCUAAUUAUUGGGCCAAAAUGUUCCUAUUUUUACAAAAGCCCCCACAAUUCAAUCCAAGAAAACUCCCACAUACCUUCCCAUCAAAGUAGUAGACGCCGGAGCUGCACAAAGAGGAAAGUCAAUUUUUUCAUAUCCAAACAAAGUAUCAGUGUUCAAUUUAUACCUAAC